GCCCUGGUAGUCCAGUGGCUAAGACUCCACAUUCCCAAUGGAGGUGACCCAGGUUCAAUCCCUGGUCAGGGAA
rnacentral:tRNA from 1 species